UGGCGGACGGGUGAGUAAUGUCUGGGAACCUGCCCGAUGGAGGGGGAUAACUACUGGAAACGGUAGCUAAUACCGCAUAACGUCGCAAGACCAAAGAGGGGGACCUUAGGGCCUCUUGCCAUCGGAUGUGCCCAGAUGGGAUUAGCUAGUAGGUGGGGUAAUGGCUCACCUAGGCGACGAUCCCUAGCUGUCUGAGAGGAUGACCAGCCACACUGGAACUGAGACACGGUCCAG
rnacentral:rRNA from 1 species